GUGCUAGGUGGGGAGCUAGCGGUGCCCUGUACCUACAAUCCGCUACAGUAGGACUGAACACUAUUCUAGGCUUAGGCUAUGUAAGGUCUGCCUUCGACAAGUGAUGUUGAUAUCAAGGUCUUGUGCAAUUGUUCACUGCGAACCAUGUCAGAGCUUGACCGCAGCAGCAUUAAACAGAUCGAAUGAUGUGCCACGAGGUAGCUUUGAAGGAGUUAACUAUCGUUGUUCCGCUUGGGUAGUCUCUGUCGAAAAUAGAUG
rnacentral:SRP_RNA from 1 species